rnacentral:lncRNA from 1 species
CACAGUGAAACCAAAUGGAAAAAAAAAAAAUAAAAAAAAAUAAAAAGAAAACAAAUUGAAAACAAAUGCUAAAACCAUGGACGGAAUCUGAGUUCUGGUUUAGACUCGGAUGUGAGUACACAAAAAUCACUUAAAACCCAUUCUGUGAUGGAUUUGUUUGGUUAUCAGGUUGCACUAUAUAUAUGAGUGUCAGAGCCUACUGCUGCCGUCGGCGGGAGGCAGAGACGCUGCCUGCGUGAGAUGUGAGCAAGUGGAUGACCUGAUCCGCAUGGUGGCAGAGCUCAAGGAGGAGGUGGAGAGGCUGAGGGCCAUCAGGGAAUGUGAGCGGGAGAUAGACUUCUGGAGCAACUCCCUGCAGGGCCUCAAGGAGAGGUACCGGGGUGAGACACCCCAAAUGGGGGUGGACCCCCUGCCCUGUCGCCGUCGGACAGAGGGAGGGGAUCUGGGAGUUGAGGAGGAAUGGAAACAGGUCCCUGCGCGACAUGGCAGGCGAUGCCCUCCCCUUCCGGCCCCACCUUCCCAGGUGCCCUUACAAAACAGGUUUGAGGCCCUGGAGAAUGAGAGAUCAACAGCAACUGAGGAAGAGGUAGAAAGUGUUCCCAGGAGGAUGCCUAGGGCGAGGAGGUCGACUCCACGCAUCAGGACUGCCUCCACCAAGAAAGAAAGAAGGGUGAUUGUCGUGGGAGGCUCUAUCCUUAGGGGGACAGAGGGCCCUAUCUGUCGGCCUGACCCUACCCGUAGGGAAGUCUGCUGCCUCCCUGGGGCCAGGGUCAGGGACGUUACCAGGAAGCUCCCCAACCUGGUACGCCCCUCAGACUAUUAUCCUCUUGUGAUAGUCCAGGCAGGUAGUGAUGACAUUGAUGACAGAAGCCUGAAGGCUAUCAAAAGAGACUUUAGGGGGCUGGGACGGUUAGUGGACAGAGCAGGAGUGCAGGUAGUAUUUUCGUCCAUCCCUACGCUGACAGGGAGGGGUACGGAGAGGACAAGGAAAGCCCACCUGUUAAACA